rnacentral:tRNA from 1 species
AAUUGAUGAGUUUGUUAAAAACAUAUAUUUUGAAAAUAUAAAAAAGAAAAAAUAAAUUUUUCUAUCAGUUU